UUAACUGGCCAUUGUAACGAGGAAGAGUUCGGCUAUUUUUGGACUAUUGCAGAAAACUGCGGAGAAUUCCGUGAGGCAGGGGAACUUUUGGAAGAGAUAUUAGAGGAAGGAAUUACAGAUGAAAAUCUUGAAGAAAGUGCAUACAGGACCGCAAUCAUUACCAUGCAUUCAGCUGAUUUCACGGCCUAUGAGGCGAAUCUUGUGGCUGACAUCAUGGAUCGUAUUGUGUGGUGGAAUUCAAGCGACUAUAAUGUGACCACAUCCUAUGUUCAAGUUGUUAACAACAUAAUAAAUGUGAAUGAGGAGGAAUUAUUUGACGCUCAAGAACAAAGUAAUUCACCCUCCCGAUUAGUCCAGGGUCUUGAGAAGCAACUCGGUUAUCUCGAAGUUAACUCCUUCACAGGUUAUGACGAAAAGUUUGACAACAUCGCUGU